rnacentral:lncRNA from 1 species
GGGCUCGACCUCGUAGUCCAGUGGUGGAGACCGUGACGGAGUCACGCAUGGCCCUCAUCCGUGCACUUGGCAUGGAUGUGGUGGUGGAGGCGCCGCAAGUUUCGGCUCAACGUACAUUACUCCGUCCACAGGCUCCAUUACUUCGUCCGCGUACAAGUUCGGAGCAGCCGGUCCGGUAAGGAUCCAGGCCGGGAGCGGCGCGGCGUCGGCAUGGCCGGUUCACG